CCUACGGGGUGCAGCAGUGGGGAAUAUUGGACAAUGGGCGAAAGCCUGAUCCAGCCAUGCCGCGUGUGUGAAGAAGGCCUUCGGGUUGUAAAGCACUUUCAGUGGGGAAGAAAGCCUUGGGGCUAAUACCCUCGAGGAAGGACAUCACCCACAGAAGAAGCACCGGCUAACUCCGUGCCAGCAGCCGCGGUAAUACGGAGGGUGCGAGCGUUAAUCGGAAUUACUGGGCGUAUAGCGCGCGUAGGCGGUCUGAUAAGCCGGUUGUGAAAGCCCCGGGCUCAACCUGGGAACGGCAUCCGGAACUGUCAGGCUAGAGUGCAGGAGAGGAAGGUAGAAUUCCCGGUGUAGCGGUGAAAUGCGUAGAGAUCGGGAGGAAUACCAGUGGCGAAGGCGGCCUUCUGGACUGACACUGACGCUGAGGUGCGAAAGCGUGGGUAGCAAACAGGAUUAGAUACCCCGGUAGUC
rnacentral:rRNA from 1 species